rnacentral:misc_RNA from 1 species
GGAGAUGCUUCUGUGACCAAGACUGGAAAGCAAGACCUAGAAGGGACUGAAUAUGCUCCUAAGAGUUGUCUACAGUCUAACUGUGAAAAUACAAGCAUAUCACCAGCUAAAUCACAGGAAGGCUCUUCUCCAUCUAGUUUUUGUGGUAGAACAGUUAAGAGAUCAGUAUACAGAAGACUUGGAGAAGCUGUAACUCAGAGACUCUACAAAUGCUUUAAGGAAAAUCAAUAUCCUGACCGAGCUACAAAAGAGAGUCUGGCAAAAGAGCUGGACAUUACUUUCCGGCAGGUUAGGAAGUGGUUUGAAAAUGCUCGAUGGAGCUUCAAUCAUUCAUCAUCUAUGGAUGCACUGGUCAGAAAAACUUCAGAAAAGGAUUCUCCACUGCCAAAAACUAAUUCGAAACCACUUGAACGAGGACAUGAAACUGUUGGCGGAGAUGCUACUUCCAAUGGAGCUCAAAGUGAGAAAUCACCCAAG